AUGGUUGAUCCUGCCAAUAGUCAUAUGCUUGUCUCAAAUAUUAAGCCAUGCAUGUCUAAGUGCAUGACGUAUAAGGGCGAAACCGCGAAUGGGUCAUUAAAUCAGUUAUGGUGCCUUGGAUCGUACCUUACUACUUGGAUAACUGCGGCAAUUCUAGAGCUAAUACAUGCAGGAGAGCUCCGAUCCUCUGGGUAAGAGCGCUUUUAUUACACCAAAAACAACAGGACCUCAUGUCCAUAUUAUGUGGUGAUUCUGUAUAACUUUGGGCUGAUCGCACAGGCUCGUCCCGGUAACGGCUACCAAAUCCAAGGAAGGCAGCAGGCGCGCAAAUUAUCCACUCCCAGAACGGGGAGGUAGUGACGAAAAAUAACAAUACGGGAUACUUUUGAGACUCAGUAAUUGGAUGAGUGCACUCUAAAUCCUUUAAGGAAGAUAAUUUGGAGGGCAAGUCUGGUGCCAGCAGCAGUGGUAAUUCCAGCUCUAAUAGCGUAUACUGAAGUUGCUGCGGCUAAAAAGCUCGUAGUUGGAUCUCAGUUCCAGACGGAUGGUCCACCUACCGGUGGUUACUGCCUGUUUGGAACAGCCAGCCGGUUUCCUUUGAUGAUCUUCAGCGGUAGAUGGUGGAACCGCGAGUAAGUCAGCAUUUCAUUAUAGCUGGUGUAGCUGAUUCCGGAGAAGACCUGUCCAAAACUUUAAGAAAUUACGGUUGAAAGUUUCUUAUGUUGAAAUGAACCUAGAAAUAUUACUUCCGACACGAUAACUCGUGUAAGGAAAUCAGUGACACCACUAAUAAAGAAUGAGAUGAAAUUCAUGUGUUGCCUUGUAUGCUCUAAUUUGAUAAGAUGCAGAGGUUAUUAAGGGAUAAGCAAUAUACUAUACUAAAUGAAAGAUUUUUCCUACUCCCAUAAUUUUAUAUUGCUUAUUUUCCAAAUAAUUUCAAAAUCUCUAUUCAU
rnacentral:ncRNA from 1 species